ACAUGCUUACAACAUAGUGUUAAUGCUAUGGAUCCCAUUAGAACUCCGUAGUUAAACAAGAUCAAGUUAAAGUAGUACCAGAAUGGGUGAUCGCUCGAGAAGUCCUAGUGUUUUACAUGCC
rfam:Picea glauca, whole genome shotgun sequence.